GAUGAACGCUGGCGGCGUGCCUAAUACAUGCAAGUCGAGCGAACAGACGAGGAGCUUGCUCCUCUGACGUUUGCGGCGGACGGGUGUGUAACACGUGUAUACCCUACCUAUAAGACUGGUAUAACUUCGGGAAACCGGAGCUAAUACCGGAUAAUAUAUUGAUCCGUAUGGUUCAAUAGUGAAAGACGGUUUUUGUGGCAGUUCUAGAUGGAUCCGCGCCGCAUGAGAUGGUUGGGAAGGUAACGGCUUACCAAGGCAACCAUGCGUUGCCGACCGGAGAGGGUGGUCGGCGACACGGGAACUGAGACACGGUCCAGACUCUUGCGGGAGGCAGCAGUAGGGAAUCGUACGCAAUGGGCGAAAGCCUGACGGAGCAACGCCGCGUGAGUGAUGAAGAUCUUCGGAUCGUAAAAAUCUGUUAUUAGGGAAGAACAAAUGUGUAAGUAAAUAUGCACGGAGUGACGGUAACUGAUAAGAAAGCCCCGGCUAACUACGUG
rnacentral:rRNA from 1 species